UACAGAGGUCCCGAGCGUUGUUCGGAUUCAUUGGGCGUAAAGGGUGCGUAGGCGGCCGUGCAAGUCUGGCGUGAAAGCCCCGGGCUCAGCCCGGGAAGUGCGCUCGAAACUGCGCGGCUCGAGUGCCGGAGGGGAGAGUGGAAUUCCUGGUGUAGCGGUGAAAUGCGUAGAUAUCAGGAGGAAUACCGGUGGCGAAAGCGACUCUCUGGACGGCAACUGACGCUGAGGCACGAAAGCGUGGGGAGCAGACAGG
rnacentral:rRNA from 1 species